CACGUAGGGCGCAAGCGUUGUCCGGAAUUAUUGGGCGUAAAGAGCUCGUAGGCGGUCUGUUGCGUCCGCUGUGAAAACUCGGGGCUUAACCCCGAGCCUGCAUUCGAUACGGGCAGACUAGAGUUCGGUAGGGGAGACUGGAAUUCCUGGUGUAGCGGUGAAAUGCGCAGAUAUCAGGAGGAACACCGGUGGCGAAGGCGACUACCUGGCCUGUUCUUGACGCUGAGGCGCGAAAGCUAGGGGAGCAAACGGG
rnacentral:rRNA from 1 species